GACCAUUAGUUUCAAUUGUUUUUAGAUGGAACAACUAUUUGAGAUGGAGGCUUUAUAUCUUGGGACCGCAUAUUGUAGAAAUGCGAUCCAACCGGUAUGAAACAUUUCUACAAAAUAUACAAUGAUACCAUUUACCUUUGAUACAAGGUGGUCACAAUUAAUAUUGACGAUGAAGUUGGGUAGCUGCAUUUAUUUCAUUGACCAAACUUGAAAUUCAAAAUUUUUUUUUUCGAACUUUGUGAUACACCCAAGCUAUCAAAUUUCACAUGGGAUGUUUGUAAGUAAUGGUGACCUCCUUGUACCCAAGAUUAAUGGUGUUAUUGUAUACUAUCCCUAAUAAAUAUAGGUAUCUAUUAAAAUUUAUAAUUAAAAAAUAAUAAUAAACCAAAACCAAUUUAGCCUGAGGUGUAACACAUUACUAGUAAAA
rnacentral:lncRNA from 1 species